AGCAUCUUUGUACAUGAGCCAUUUUCUAGUA
rnacentral:piRNA from 1 species